GAGGAGGAGGAGAAGCAAAACAGGAAGAGCAAAGAAGAAGAAAAAUAUAUAUAGAAAGAAAGAAAGAAAGAAAGAACGAAAGAAAAAAAGGAAAGAAAAGUGAGAGGAAGAAAAGGAAAAUAAAAAGACGAAGAAAAAUAGUAAAAGAAAAAGAAACUGAAAAUGACAGGAACACCAUCACCAUCAUCACCAUCAUCAUCAUCAUCAUCAUCAUCAGGGGGAGCCACAGAGAUUGGAAUAUAAUAGGAACGGGAAUGGUAAUGGCGGCGGCGGACGAGGUUGUUUUGGACCUUGGAACGCAUACUAACGAGUCUGUCCGCGUGAUUUCCCCGCUGAGGACCUUCCCAGACGCGAGGACGACGCACCACGCUGAUUAAAGAAGUCCCCGCAGGAUAACACGGGCUGGGUUCUCGCCUCCGUGGACGUAGAUGUGUUUGCUACGUUGCAGAGUGAGGUUAGUCCACGAGGGAAAACGCCGGUGAGGUUAGGUGGCGCGUGAAGGUUAGGAUCGGUUGUUCUGCGGCAUGGGAGUGAGGUCUGCCCACGUAGGAAAACACCGGUGAGGUUAGGUGGCGCGUGAAGGUUAGGAUCGGUUGUUCUGCGGCAUGGGAGUGAGGUCUGUCCACGUAGGAAAACACCGGUGAGGUUAGGUGGCGCGUGAAGGUUAGGAUCGGUUGUUCUGCGGCAUGGGAGAGAGGUCUGUCCACGUAGGAAAACACCGGUGAGGUUAGGUGGCGCGUGAAGGUUAGGAUCGGUUGUUCUGCGGCAUGGGAGAGAGGUCUGUCCACGAGGGAAAACACCGGUGAGGUUAGGUGGCGCGUGAAGGUUAGGAUCGGUUGUUCUGCGGCAUGGGAGUGAGGUCUGUCCACGAGGGAAAACACCGGUGAGGGUAGAUGUCGCUUGUUGGUUAGUGUCGGUUGUGAUGCGUUACAGGAGUGAGGUCUGUCCACGCGGGAAAACACCGGUGAGGGUAGAUGUCGCUUGUUGGUUAGUGUCGGUUGUGAUGCGUUACAGGAGUGAGGUCUGUCUCCGCGGGGAAUCACCAGUGAGGUUUGGUGGCGCGUGAUGGUUAGGGCCACUUGUUCUACGUCAUGGGAGAGAGGUCAGUCCACGUAGGAAAACACCGGUGAGGGUAGAUGUCGCUUGAUGGUUAGUUAGGAGUGAGGUCUGUCUCCGCGGGAAAACAGCGGCGAGCCUGGGUGGCGCGUGAUGAUCAGGGCUGGUCGUGCUACCUCAAGGAGACUAAAUCUGCUCCAGCUGGAAAAACUCGCUGGGAAUCUCUCCUUGCCAUUAGCCUUAUAAAAUCUACACGUCAAAGUAACCAAAUAUAUCGUAGCAUGAAAACACGUUGAGGUCUUUGUUUCCGAGUGAUCAGCGAGCAGGCAUGUUGAAACCGUUAACGUAGGUUCGAGUCCCACAGAAACACGCUUAUUUUUCAAGCCAUCGCCGAGUGUCUGAAGAAUACCCACUUCUUGCCCGUAUCUUCAAUCAACCCUAACUUCAGCGACUUCGGUCAGGAGGAGCACCGGGGGGCAGCAUGGGCCAGGCAAGAGUCACACACCACGACUGCCACUAUAAAAAAAUUCCCCCGCGCCACUACCGAGAUGGGCCGUCCACGAGGCACCUCAAGAGAACCUAAAAAAAUAACCAUAUGGAAAGCAUAGAAAACACGCUCUUAGUGGCUAUUCACGUGCUGGUAAUGCUUUAUUUUGCUGCGUCAAGGCGAGGGAAAAUGUCCACGGUGAAAAGAUGCGGAUAUCGGCCCGGAAGACAUAGUGGUUCCUUGUCUCUCUCUCGACAUCAAAGGAAGGAAACUGAGUCGGGAGAAUAUACUGUACACACACACAUGCAUAAGCUUACCAAAGGAGAAGGAGG